GGGGAAUCUUAGACAAUGGGCGCAAGCCUGAUCUAGCCAUGCCGCGUGAGCGAUGAAGGCCUUAGGGUUGUAAAGCUCUUUCGUGGGGGAAGAUAAUGACUGUACCCCAAGAAGAAGCCCCGGCUAACUCCGUGCCAGCAGCCGCGGUAAUACGGAGGGGGCUAGCGUUGUUCGGAAUUACUGGGCGUAAAGCGCACGUAGGCGGACUGGAAAGUCAGGGGUGAAAUCCCGGGGCUCAACCCCGGAACUGCCUUUGAAACUCCCAGUCUUGAGGUCGAGAGAGGUGAGUGGAAUUCCGAGUGUAGAGGUGAAAUUCGUAGAUAUUCGGAGGAACACCAGUGGCGAAGGCGGCUCACUGGCUCGAUACUGACGCUGAGGUGCGAAAGCGUGGGGAGCAAAC
rnacentral:rRNA from 1 species